GGGGGGGGGGCAAGCGUUGUUCGGGAAUUACUGGGCGUAAAGGGCGUGUAGGCGGUCCUGCAAGUCUUUCGUGAAAUCCCACAGCUCAACUGUGGAACUGCGAGGGAAACUGCAGGACUUGAGUCCGGGAGAGGAGAGUGGAAUUCCCAGUGUAGCGGUGAAAUGCGUAGAUAUUGGGAGGAACACCGGUGGCGAAGGCGGCUCUCUGGACCGGUACUGACGCUGAGGCGCGAAAGCUAGGGGAGCAAACGGGAUUAGAUACCCCGGUAGUCCUAGCCUUAAACGAUGAGCACUUGGUGUGGCGGGUAUCGACCCCUGCCGUGCCGAAGCUAACGCAUUAAGUGCUCCGCCUGGGGAGUACGGUCGCAAAAGCUG
rnacentral:rRNA from 1 species